rnacentral:tRNA from 1 species
GUGGCUGUGGCUCAGUGGUAGAGUAUCAUCUAGCACCUGCAAAGCCCUGGGUUUGAUACUCAGCACCACA